rnacentral:piRNA from 1 species
AACACUUGGACGCCAGAUGUGCCACGAA